UACGGGGGGGCAAGGCGUUGUUCGGAAUUACUGGGCGUAAAGGGCUCGUAGGCGGCCAACGUAAGUCGGAUGUGAAAUCCCCAGGCUUAACCUGGGAACUGCAUCCGAUACUGGAUGGCUUGAUUCGGGAGAGGGAUGGCAGAAUUCCAGGUGUAGCGGUGAAAUGCGUAGAUAUCUGGAGGAAUACCGGUGGCGAAGGCGGCA
rnacentral:rRNA from 1 species